rnacentral:rRNA from 1 species
AGCCGCUCAGAACUAAAGGAAUUGACGGGGCCGCACAAGCGGUGGAGUAUGUGGUUAAUUCGAUGCAACGCGAAGAACCUUACCUGGUCUUGACAUCCCGGAGACCCUUAGGAAACUAGGGGGUGCUUCCAUCUGGAAGAAUCUGGAGACAGGUGCUGCAUGGCUGUCGUCAGCUCGUGUCGUGAGAUGUUGGGUUAAGUCCCGCAACGAGCGCAACCCUUGCCUUUAGUUGCCAGCAGUUCGGCUGGGCACUCUAAAGGGACUGCCGGUGUUAAACCGGAGGAAGGUGGGGAUGACGUCAAGUCCUCAUGGCCUUUAUGACCAGGGCUACACACGUACUACAAUGGCCGAUACAAAGGGCAGCGACACUGCGAGGUGAAGCCAAUCCCGUAAAAUCGGUCUCAGUCCGGAUUGGAGUCUGCAACUCGACUCCAUGAAGUUGGAAUCGCUAGUAAUCGUGGAUCAGCAUGCCACGGUGAAUACGUUCCCGGGCCUU